rnacentral:rRNA from 1 species
CAGACCCGAGGCGCACUGCUCAGUAACACGUGGAGAAUCUGCCCUUAGGUGAGGAAUAACCUCGGGAAACUGAGAAUAAUACCUCAUAGGUUAUGGAUGCUGGAAUGCUUCAUAGCCCAAAGCCCCGGCGCCUAAGGAUGACUCUGCGGACUAUCAGGUAGUAGUCAGGGUAACGACCUGACUAGCCUACGACGGAUACGGGGUGUGAGAGCACUAGCCCGGAGAUGGAUUCUGAGACACGAAUCCAGGCCCUACGGGGUGCAGCAGGCGCGAAACUUCCGCAAUGCUCGACAGAGUGACGGAGGGAUUCCAAGUGCCUAUGCUAUGCGUAGGCUGUUCUUAUGUCUAAAUAACAUGGAGAGUAAGAGCUGGGUAAGACGGGUGCCAGCCGCCGCGGUAA